UGGAAGACAGAUACACGAGAUUUAAAAUUGUUAGACUUCUCGUCACAAAUUCUUCCUAGAAAGAAUUUGCCUUCUGAUGACUGUGACUUGUGAAGUUUUAAUUUACAGACAGAUACGGGGCAUACAAAU